rnacentral:rRNA from 1 species
AGGACGAACGCUGGCGGCGUGCUUAACACAUGCAAGUCGAGCGGAAAGGCCCUUCGGGGUACUCGAGCGGCGAACGGGUGAGUAACACGUGAGGAACCUGCCCUGGACUUUGGGAUAACCCUCGGAAACGGGGGCUAAUACCGGAUACGACACGGUCUCGCAUGGGAUUGUGUGGAAAGUUUUUCGGUCUGGGAUGGUCUCGCGGCCUAUCAGCUUGUUGGUGGGGUAAUGGCCUACCAAGGCGACGACGGGUAG